CCUACGGGAGGCAGCAGUGAGGAAUAUUGGUCAAUGGGCGCUAGCCUGAACCAGCCAAGUCGCGUGAAGGAUGACUGCCCUAUGGGUUGUAAACUUCUUUUAUCUGGGAAUAAAGUGCCGUAUUUAUACUGCUUUGCAUGUACCUUAUGAAUAAGGAUCGGCUAACUCCGUGCCAGCAGCCGCGGUAAUACGGAGGGUCCGAGCGUUAUCCGGAUUUAUUGGGUUUAAAGGGUGCGGAGGCGGGGUGUUAAGGCAGUUGUGAAAGUUGGCGGGUCAACCGUAAAAUUGCAGUUGAUACUGGCAGCCUUGAGUACAGUAGAGGUAGGCGGAAUGCGUGGUGUAGCGGUGAAAUGCUUAGAUAUCACGAAGAACUCCGAUUGCGAAGGCAGCCUGCUGGACUGUAACUGACGCUGAGGCUCGAAAGUGUGGGUAUCAAACAGGAUUAGAUACCCGAGUAGUC
rnacentral:rRNA from 1 species